AAAGAAGUUCGGACCGCUCCGGAUCUCCGACUAAUCGGGUCUGAGCCGAACCGACCCGCGCCGAGCUGAGCGGAGCGGAGACUGAAGGUUCGGGCGCUUCAGUCGCGCCAAACGCCCGGAAUAAGAGGCUCGUUUCCCCCAGCUGCUGUCAGAGCCCGGACGCCAGAGCGUCGCUCUCUCUCUCACUCAUUCUUUACCUUUUUUUUAAAAGUGGAGAAAGAGACGCACCUCUCUCUACCUGCGCAGGAGGAGGGUGUAAAAAGCGUCUUUCAGAUGGGAGCUGCGAGGAGGGAUGAUACCGGAGCGCGUCCUGCUCCACCGGUGAGAAUAAAACCUUAGAAAUAAAAGCCUUAGAAAUAGUUGGGAGGAGGGAGGGACCGCUAUUCCUGCUAGGGCAGGUUUACAACUGAUGUCUUACACCCACUCCAGGAAACAAACCUGGGUAGGGACUGACGUGUUACGCCUCUUCUAAUGACAUUUUUUUUUUCUUUCCACCUCCUUUUCUCCGCGGUGCAACACAGAGAAAAGCCCCCUGAAACGCACGCCACCUAUCUUCACGGGAGGGGAUAAUUGAGGAGAGUCAAACGUGAGCAUCUUCUGGGCUGAAGUUUUUCCUCCCCUCCCCCCUCAUCCCAUUCUCUCUCUCCCCCUCCCUCUCUCUCUCUCUCUUUCUCUCCCCCUUCUCUUCCUCCUCUCAAUCUCCUCUCUCUUUGGCCAUCUCCUCUCCGUUUGAGCGAACCGCCGAGCUCCGGCGCGGAGAACAGACGACUUUUAUUUAUAUAUUUCUGUGAAAGAGCGCAAACUGAUGGGGACAAACUUCACCCACUCCGGCUGCCAUCAUUUUGACUCUGUAUGGAUAAUUAAAUCAUCAAUCAAGGGGCUGAAGGGCUGAUGCACGUGAACAGGCAGAUGAGCCAAUCAGAAGCUUCAUAAACACGGUGACACAAUCUGGAAAUCUUGUUGAAAUUUUAUGUUGAAACCUUUUUCUCCCUUUACACUGAUUUGUUAUAAAAGCAGGCAAACAAUGCUUUUUCUCACUUGUAUUUUUCUUUCUUUUUUUGUCAAAUUUGAUCAUUAAGGACUCAGAGGGCUUAACGUAUUGGGGGGUAAGUUUUAUUAUUUAUUUUUAUUUAACAGUUUGCACAUUUCUGUCAGUAAAUGCUGUUCUGCUUUCUUCUUUUCACCUGAAACAAGGAGGAAGAAGAGGAGGAGGUGAGUAAAAUUGUCUCGGCUCAAAAGUGGAUCCAGAUCUGAGGGUUUUUUAAAUGCAUUUUUUUUAAAUGUGUAAUUAAUAGUCACGGAGCACACUUAAACCGUACACACACUCGACACACACCUCUGAUCCACAGCAGCGUGGAGCGGCACCUCGCGCGCAGGCCCUCUUCCGUGGGGCCACAUAUUCACCGUGAAAACGGAUUACAGUCACUGUGUGACCUAUAGGGGGACCUUGUGCUUAAUGAAUAUAUUGCUUUAAAUCAGGAAGGUGUGUGUGUGUGUGUGUGUGUGUGUGUGUGUGUGUGUGUGUG